rnacentral:lncRNA from 1 species
AGGAGCCUUAUAAGCUCAUAUUCUGGGCUCUUCAAUCACUAGAAGUCUUGGGGUGUAGGUUGAGAUGAAGAACCCACCUCGAUAGAGUCCUAAUGUCUAUUCUUGGGCAUAGUCUGGGGCUUAGAUAGUUAAGAGCUCCGAUCACCCAACCGAUUUCUAUCCUUGACCUCACUACCAUAACCUGACAUUGCAAAUUCAAAAAGGAGAA